GUGCCGCUGCGGCCCUUCGCUCCCGCGCCCCGCCGUCGGCCCUGGGAGGCUCCCUGUUUGUUGUCUGUCUCUCCUGCAUUGAAGAGUAAACUCCAUAAAAGCAGGACUUUGUUUUGUUCACUGUCAUACCCUCACCACCUAAAAUAGUGUCUGGCACAGAAAAGGGGCUCAGUAAAAAGUUGUUGAAUGAAUAAGUCACAUGCAGAAGCACUUCCUAGACUGGAAAAGAGCUGGGUGGAUGUUAUUAUCAGUGCUACCGGUAGGAGCUACAUUUCCUAUUUGAGUGGCUUUUUGAAGACAGUGGUAGACUUAAUUUGGAGAAAGAAUUUUUGGUCUGUUUUAAACAUCAUUCAUGCCAUGGUAGGCUCUUCUAAUUUUUCUUUGAAAUCAACUGUGUAAAUUGUUUUCCAGGACCUUUAAGAUGUUUAUACAAAUAGAAGAAUAAAGCAACCCAUUUCAUGGUGUUUCUUGUGCUUCUUUAAUUUAUAAAGAAAAAGCAAAAGCGACAGAAAGUGAUUCACAUUCAAGCACAAACCCUCCUGGCCCACACAGGAGGAAGAGCACCAGUUUCAGAAGCUAUCGUGAGCACUGCUGCUGGGGAGACCGCAGCCCCGGAGACCCUGGGCUGUAGUCCACGUCAGGACACGGCCUGUAGAACACCAAUAGGUAAGGAAAGAUGAAACCUCAAAACAAAACAAAACAAAAGGUAAAACUCUAAGACAAAACAAACAAGCUGAUGUAUCAGAAUCCUAUGAGAAUUUGUUCUUCAUAAUUAAAACACUUAAAAUUUUAGAACUUCUGAGACUUUCAUGAAACUGUAGCCCUUAAAGGAAGAGGAAAAUCAAGACAAGCAGGUUGAGCCUUGGGGUUUUAGUGGCAGUAGGUCCCCAGAUCAUGUUCUAAACCAGAUAUAUUUCUGAACUGGAGUUUUAGCUUGGAGUGGGAUGAAUCCCAAAGCAACAGUCCAUUCAAAGGCAUUGGCUUCUUGUACCUCCUGCUUUCUCUGGCUGAAGCUUUACAUGACUGAAGGCAAUGCUACCUUUUGAGGCAUAAGAAUCCAAUGUUCCCCAGCAGGAGCUAGAAUGCAAAUUGUACUGCUAUUGACAAGCCACUGGCCCAUGUUUUGUUUCUGAAACACUGCUCUUCCAAAAGUGCUUGGGCAUUUUAAUGACUGCACUUGAACAUGCUUAACUGCUAGCAUGUGUAUUCCAAUCAAGGCUACAGACACCCAAGUGCCUAGGCCAAGAGAUUCAGAAGCUAAAAUCUGAGACCAGAGCAGUGUUCACUGAUACUGUGCUUGGCCGGAGUAGGCAGCACCCACACCUUGGACCAGUGUGGAGAUACCAACCACCCCUCAGAUGUGGCUCAGGGCAGGGAGUGUCAGCCACUCUUCUGUUCUAAGCAAAGAUAGAAGACUGCUGAACAUGCACCAUAGUUGAAUUUCAAGUGUUCAUAACUCGUCUGUGUAUCUGACAUUUGGAGACUCCAAGAAGCCUGAUUAUAAACAAUAUCAAUAAAAAAAUCACCAAGAAU